AUUGAACGCUGGCGGCAUGCCUUACACAUGCAAGUCGAACGGCAGCACGGGAGCAAUCCUGGUGGCGAGUGGCGAACGGGUGAGUAAUAUAUCGGAACGUGCCCAGUCGUGGGGGAUAACGUAGCGAAAGCUACGCUAAUACCGCAUACGAUCUAUGGAUGAAAGCGGGGGAUCGCAAGACCUCGCGCGAUUGGAGCGGCCGAUAUCAGAUUAGGUAGUUGGUGAGGUAAAGGCUCGCCAAGCCGACGAUCUGUAGCUGGUCUGAGAGGACGACCAGCCACACUGGGACUGAGACACGGCCCAGACUCCUACGGGAGGCAGCAGUGGGGGAAUUUUUGGACAAUGGGCGCAAGCCUGAUCCAGCAAUGCCGCGUGCAGGAUGAAGGCC
rnacentral:rRNA from 1 species